rnacentral:lncRNA from 1 species
UUUAUUAGAUUCAAAUAGCACUUCCGCAAAAAGCAGGCUCCGUAUGUGCAACGACCCGAUCCACUAGCAACAAUAACUCGUUGGGCUCAAACCACCGGCCCAAAAUGUUUAAACCCAAUUAUUAUUACUAGUGUGUAGGUUUCAUAUAAGCUGAUCGAAAUCAGUAUCUUAUCCCAUCCGAUGUGGGACUAUUGGGGCGUUACAAAUUCCCCCUAUUUAGAUCCUGACGUCCUCGUCGGGUCCAAACCAGAUCACAGACCGGGACCAUAAUUACCAGACGAUGUGAGAUUCUAGAGGUGGCUCCUACCGGUUCAAGAGGUGGCUUCCACAAAAUCCGUUGGUAUAGCACUUUGUCCCGUAUAGCACUUAGCUCGUAUAUUUUCGGCUGGUAUUCGGCUUAAAUACCAAUUGCAACGACCCGACCCGUUAGCAACAAUAACUCGUUGGGUCUAAACCACCGGCCUAAAAUGCUUAAAUCUAGUUAUUAUUAUUAGCGCGUAGAGCUUAUAUAAACUGAUCGAAAUCAGUAUCUUAUCUGAUGUGAAACUAUUAGGGCGUUACAGUAUGGCAAUUAAGCUUCUGGGGGCCUGA